UGGGGAAUCUUGCACAAUGGGCGAAAGCCUGAUGCAGCAACGCCGCGUGAGCGAUGAAGGCCUUUGGGUCGUAAAGCUCUGUCCUUGGGGAAGAACAAAAUGACGGUACCCUUGGAGGAAGCCCCGGCUAACUACGUGCCAGCAGCCGCGGUAAUACGUAGGGGGCGAGCGUUAUCCGGAAUUAUUGGGCGUAAAGAGUGCGUAGGUGGUCUUGUAAGCGGGGGGUGAAAGGCAUCGGCUUAACCGAUGUUAGCCCCCCGAACUGUGAGACUUGAGUACAGGAGAGGAAAGCGGAAUUCCUAGUGUAGCGGUGAAAUGCGUAGAUAUUAGGAGGAACACCAGUGGCGAAGGCGGCUUUCUGGACUGAAACUGACACUGAGGCACGAAAGCGUGGGGAGCAAACA
rnacentral:rRNA from 1 species